CGUUCCCGGGCCUUGUACACACCGCCCGUCACACCACGAAAGUCGGCAACACCCGAAGCCGGUGGCCUAACCCGCAAGGGAGGAAGCCGUCGAAGGUGGGGUCGAUGAUUGGGGUG
rnacentral:rRNA from 1 species